AGAAAAGCUUGUUUCCAUUUGUCACACUCUGUUCUUGUUCUGUGUGUAAAGAGGUUGCUAUGGGAUUAUUUUCUAGAGUUACAACCUCCAUAUAUAAUCUGAGAAGAUCAUGCUGAGAAGAAAUGCACCAUAAGGCAAGUCAGAUGAGAUGCUUGCUGGUCAUCAAGAAAGUGGCACUCACAUUUUGAAGCCAAUCCAAACCAAGAGGUAGCAAUUCUCCCAACAGUCCCCUGUGAUGAGGAAUCCCCACUAAGGAUUUAGGUUCUCCCUGCAGAUAUUGCCUGUGAGGCCCCAUAUUACAUUGAGGACACCAAGGGCAUGGUUGCCAAGGGGAAAGCUGACCACCUAGUAAGUUCAGUGAACAGGUAUGAGACAAAAAAUAAAAUGUGUUCAUGUGGAAGAUUCAGAAGGCCACCACCCUGCUUAGUGCUCAGGGGUGGGAAUCUGGAAUGCUGUGUUUCUCCCUUGUCAGCUUCAGUCAGCUUCAGUUAGCAGCAAGUAAAAGGAAGACUGUAAAGCUGGAGGAGGGAGAAAGGGACUGCUCCCAGCUCCUCGUCCCCUGUCCCCAGCAGUGAACCCUGGCAGUGGCAGCUGCUUCCAGUAGCAACAGUUGGUUCCAGUUCCCAGGGGUUUUUCCCUAUGUUCCCAGAACCUGGCUCAUUACAACUCCUUAGAAUCCCAUUACAAACCAACCAGGUCUCCCUCUUCCAAGGUCUGGGUCUCAGCUCUGCUGGUUCUGCAAAGAUCCUCUCCUCUGAGCUCCUGAGCAAACACAUAGCAAAGGGAUCUGCUUCAACCCAACAGAACAGAAUCGCAUUUUCUGUGGCCAUCAGCAUUCAGUCCUGGAGACAUGCCUGCAUUUACAGAGAUGGAGCCAAGCACCAAAGUCAACAUGGUUCUUAAAAAAUUACUUACACCAUUUAAAAAUACUCCUUCUGUACUACAAGUAACACACAGAGUUUCAACAUCAUGGGGUUUUACCAGCACGUAACAAAUUUCUCCAUGAAUUUGUCUCCAAGGUGGGGCUCGACAUCCAUUUGAAAAUUCAUAAUCUGAAACCAAUUAUCGAUCAAUUAAAAGGAGC